rnacentral:rRNA from 1 species
GAACGCACGCCAAGUGAGUGGCGCCGGGUGAGUACGCGUGGGCACUGCCCUGGAGUGGGGGAUAACCCGGUCGAAAGCCGGGCUAAUACCGCAUACGUCCUGAUGGAGAAAGAUUAUCGCUCUAGGAGGGGCCCGCGUCGGAUAAGCUAGUUGGUGAGGUAACGGCUCACCAAUGCGACGAUCCGUAUCUGGUCUGAUAGGAUGAUCAGCCUCUCUGGGACUGAUACACGGCCCAUACUCCUACUGGAUGCAGCUGUGGGGAAUAUUGGACAAUGGGGGCAACCCUGAUCCAGCAAUGCCGCGUGAGUGAUGAAUGCCUUAGGGUUGUAAAGCUCUUUCGGCGGGGACGAUGAUGACUGUACCCGUAUAAGAAGCCCCGGCUAACUUCGUGCCAGCAGCCGCGGUAAU